UCAAUAAGCGGAGGAAAAGAAACCAACAGGGAUUGCCCCAGUAACGGCGAGUGAAGCGGCAACAGCUCAAAUUUGAAAUCUGGCCCCAGGCCCGAGUUGUAAUUUGCAGAGGAUGCUUUUGGCGCGGUGCCUUCCGAGUUCCCUGGAACGGGACGCCAUAGAGGGUGAGAGCCCCGUACGGUUGGACACCAAGUCUUUGUAAAGCUCCUUCGACGAGUCGAGUAGUUUGGGAAUGCUGCUCAAAAUGGGAGGUAUAUUUCUUCUAAAGCUAAAUAUUGGCCAGAGACCGAUAGCGCACAAGUAGAGUGAUCGAAAGAUGAAAAGCACUUUGAAAAGAGGGUUAAACAGCACGUGAAAUUGUUAAAAGGGAAGCGCUUAUGACCAGACUUGCGCCCGGUGAAUCACCCAGCUCUCGCGGCUGGGGCACUUUGCCGGCUCAGGCCAGCAUCAGCUCGCUGUCGGGGACAAAAGCUUCGGGAACGUAGCUCUCUUCGGGGAGUGUUAUAGCCCGUUGCACAAUACCCUUCGGCGGGCUGAGGUACGCGCUCCGCAAGGAUGCUGGCGUAAUGGUCAUCAGCGACCCGUCUUGAAACACGGACCAAGGAGUCAACCUUAUGUGCGAGUGUUUGGGUGUCAAACCCCUACGCGUAAUGAAAGUGAACGCAGGUGAGAGCUUCGGCGCAUCAUCGACCGAUCCUGAUGUUCUCGGAUGGAUUUGAGUAAGAGCAUAUAGGGUUGGACCCGAAAGAAGGUGAACUAUGCGUGUAUAGGGUGAAGCCAGAGGAAACUCUGGUGGAGGCUCGCAGCGGUUCUGACGUGCAAAUCGAUCGUCAAAUAUGCGCAUGGGGGCGAAAGACUAAUCGAACCUUCUAGUAGCUGG
rnacentral:rRNA from 1 species